AUUGAACGCUGGCGGCAGGCCUAACACAUGCAAGUCGAGCGGAUGAAGGGAGCUUGCUCCUGGAUUCAGCGGCGGACGGGUGAGUAAUGCCUAGGAAUCUGCCUGGUAGUGGGGGAUAACGUCCGGAAACGGGCGCUAAUACCGCAUACGUCCUGAGGGAGAAAGUGGGGGAUCUUCGGACCUCACGCUAUCAGAUGAGCCUAGGUCGGAUUAGCUAGUUGGUGGGGUAAAGGCCUACCAAGGCGACGAUCCGUAACUGGUCUGAGAGGAUGAUCAGUCACACUGGAACUGAGACACGGUCCAGACUCCUACGGGAGGCGGCAGUGGGGAAUAUUGGACAAUGGGCGAAAGCCUGAUCCAGCCAUGCCGCGUGUGUGAAGAAGGUCUUCGGAUUGUAAAGCACUUUAAGUUGGGAGGAAGGGCAGUAAGUUAAUACCUUGCUGUUUUAACGUUACCAACAGAAUAAGCACCGGCUAACUUCGUG
rnacentral:rRNA from 1 species